GGUUAAGCUAAGAAGAGCGUAGGGAGAAUGCCUUGGCAUUAGGAGCCGAUGAAGGACGUGAUAAGCUGCGAUAAGCUGCGGGGAUCAGCAAGUAUGAAUUGAUCCGCAGAUUUCCGAAUGGAGCAAUCCGUAUGUGUAUGCACAUACAUCAUAUACUGAAUCAAAUAGGUAUAUGAGGGGAACCGCCUGAACUGAAACAUCUAAGUAGGGCGAGGAAGAGAAAUCAACCGAGAUUCUGUGAGUAGUGGCGAGCGAAAGCGGAAGAGGCUAAACCAUAGGUAGCAAUACUUAUGGGGUUUCGGACAGCAUUUAGCAUUGAUAAUUUCUAGUUGAAACGUGUGGGAAAACGUACCGAGGAGUGUGAGAGUCACGUAAGCGAAAGAGAAAGUCAGCGAGCUGUAUCCAAAGUACCGCGGGACACGUGAAACCCCGUGGGAAGAUGGGGGGACCAUCCUCCAAGCCUAAAUACUACCUAAUGACCGAUAGCGAAUAGUACUGUGAAGGAACGGUGAAAAGAACCCCGGGAGGGGAGUGAAAAAGAACCUGAAACCCUAUGCUUACAAGCACCGAGAGCACGUCAAAGUGUGAUCGGGUACCUUUUGUAGAAUGGUCCGGCGAGUUAUUGUAUGCGGCAAGGUUAAGUGCUUAAGGCACGGAGCCGAAGCGAGAGCAAGUCUGAAUAGGGCGAAAGAGUCGUAUGCAAUAGACCCGAAACCGAGUGACCUAUCCAUGUCCAGGCUGAAGUGGAGGUAAAACUCCAUGGAGGGCCGAACACACGUCCGUUGAAAAGGCCGGUGAUGAGGUGUGGAUAGCGGAGAAAUUCCAAUCGAACUCGGAUAUAGCUGGUUCUCUCCGAAAUAGCUUUAGGGCUAGCCUCGUGAAAGAUUACUGGAGGUAAAGCACUGAAUGGGCUAGGGGUCGAAAGAUUACUGAACCCUAUCAAACUAAGAAUGCCAGAUAAUUGAUUCACGGGAGUCAGACAAUGUGAGAUAAGUCUCAUUGUCAAAAGGGAAACAGCCCAGACCCACAGCUAAGGUCCCUAAACAUUGUUAAGUGGAAAAGGAUGUGGGGUUGCAUAAACA
rnacentral:ncRNA from 1 species